GCUGGCUAACAAAUGGGGAAACUGAGCCGCCCAGAGAGGCCAAGUUCACACCGAGACUCCCAGUUCUCCCUCCUGCUCUCAUCCCCAGGCAUGGACAGAGCCCAGCUCCCCAGCACCCACGGCUCAAGUCUGCCUUGAAGCCCCGAGGCCCCGGAGUCCAGGUCCACUGGCUGCACGACAUGUCAGGGCCGACAGCUCCUCCAAACGAUGGCACCCCAGAUGCCAGGACCCAGGCCAGCUGGGCCUGCUGAAGCCGCUGCAUGUCAGAGGGGUGCCCUGUGAUGGGGCGGAGUCCACCAGCAGUGUGGACAUGGGAGCAGGCCUUCCCAGAGGAAGGACUCACUUGAUCUGGGAGCAUCAUUCUGGAGGUCGGGGUCCUGGGCAUCCAGCUGAGACCCAGACGGGCAAAGGCCCUGCUCUUUAUUAUCGUGGGGUAGACGAUAAACAAAUAAAUACAUUCUUAGA